rnacentral:tRNA from 1 species
GAGGGUAUAGCUCAGUGACAGAACAUAUGUUUAGCAUGCAUGAGGUUCUGGGUUCAACCUCCUGUACCCCCA